UGUGACCUGAGUUAUUAUAAGCCGGCAUUUAUUUUAAGAACUUUGUGAUUUAAUUACAUCUGUAUUUUGUGCUUUUGUCUGUGUAUGUCUUGUUAGGUACCAUAUAUGUUAAUUGUAAUCUAUACAAUUUGUAUCGUUACUCUCCUAUUCUAUCUUUUGUCCUAAGGAGAGCUGUGCUUAGGCAAUCACAUGGUUAAAAAACUUUGUGCUUGUAAGUCUUCCUCCCUCCUCCCCCCUCCUUCUUUGUUGCUUUCUCUUGCUCUGACUGCUAUGAGUAUUGGCUACAGGGGGGGUGAAUGGGUGAAAUGCUUGUAAACUCAGUGAGGAAUGUGAGGGAAACAAGGUAUAUUUGCUGGACGAAUAACCUAGUUAGGAACUUUGUGUAAUCUUGUAUAUGUUGUUAAGUAAGAGGUUAUUGGCAUGUUGGAAUAAGGAAAGUUAGAUUUUGU
rnacentral:lncRNA from 1 species